AUGAACGCUGGCGGCAGGCCUAAAACAUGCAAGUCGAGCGCUCUAGCAAUAGAGAGCGGCGCACGGGUGAGUAACAUGUGGGAAUAUGCCUUUUGGUACGGAACAACUUUUGGAAACGAAAGCUAAUACCGUAUGGUCCCUUCGGGGUAAAGAUUUAUCGCCGAUGGAUGAACCCGCGUCCGAUUAGCUUGUUGGUGAGGUAAUGGCUCACCAAGGCUUCGAUCGGUAGCUGGUCUGAGAGGAUGACCAGCCACACUGGGACUGAGACACGGCGCAGACUCCUACGGGAGGCAGCAGUGGGGAAUAUUGGACAAUGGGCGCAAGCCUGAUCCAGCAAUGCCGCGUGAAUGAUGAAGGCCUUAGGGUUGUAAAGUUCUUUCGCUCGUGACGAUGAUGACGGUAACGAGAGAAGAAGCCCCGGCUAACUUCGU
rnacentral:rRNA from 1 species